rnacentral:tRNA from 2 species
GCGAGGGUGGUGGAACUGGUAGACACGCUGGACUUAGGAUCCAGUGGCUUAGGCCGUAGGGGUUCGAGUCCCCUCCUUCGCACCA